AUGCUGAGAGAAUAUGGUGCAGGAAAUCUUAAAGACUCUCACAAUGCAAAUAAUAGACUCUGCUCCUGGACCUCCCCCCACACUUCAGCGCAGUCACAACUACAUCGUGUGAGACCCGGAGGACGGCGGCUUGACCUCUCAUCUCCUGCUAUUAUCACAGCAGAACACGCCCCGUCCAAAUAUGCACAACCACCAGGAGAAAAAGGCAGGGUGGGACCCUCCACCACUAUUUACCAAACGAACGCAGCCCUCACAUUCAAGCCUGCUGAAUGCCGGGGCUUAAUCCCUCGGCGUAGGCUUGGCUUUCAUUCCUCCAUGGACUUGAAAAGACAUCGGUCCAUCCCAGUCACAAUCAAACGCAAGCCUUUCACUUCCCGAAGACAAAUAAGGAUUUGGACACAUGAGAAGCGGAGGCUCCCUUGUGGAGGCAUGAAAAGGGAACUCAGCUGCCGGGCUCCCCCCACAGGAAGCACGGGAGCCGUGCUCUUGCCGCGGCCCCACAAACGGCGGCCGGAGCUCAUCGCGCCAGAACCUAAUUGAAACCUCAGGCUGAAACAGUGUUUUGUGAUAUUUGGAGGAAGAGGAUGGGCAAAGACAAAAAGGGAGAACAAAGCAUGUGUACAGAAAAGGCGUGGAAAGCAGCCCACUUCUUGACUGCGGGGCCAUCUGGAUGGUGGCCAUGGAGUUAAAUGAGGUGCGGCCUGCCUUUCAGUCUCAGAGACCCAAAGCCGUCUUGCAGGACCAGCUGCUGCCAGCAUUGUGGCUCCAGAGCGAAGGCCUUCGGGGGCCCUUAGGACCCUCGACCCGCAAGUGUAGGUAAAGAAAUGCAGCAGGAAGGAUGCUGGUGAGACCUUCAGACCCACCACCUGGCAUCCACGAAUCCACUGGAAGGCAUUGAAGCCAAAGAGAGAGAGCCGGGUUUCUGCGUGUCCUCCCCUGGGUGGUUUCUGUGUGUCCUCACCGGGGUUUGAAUCCGAGUUCCGCCACGUACUAAGCUCUUGUGUCACUGCAAUAAUUAUGUCCCCGAGCCUUGCUCUCCUUAUCUGUGAAAACGGGCAGGCCGGUGCUCAUCUCACAGUCAGGCCUGAGAGCCAAGUGACAGAAGGCUUGCACAAGCACGGGUGCGCAGCGCACGUUCACUUCCUUCCUUCUCCCCCGAAACCAGGUGCCCAGAAGCUGGCCUUUGGAAGCUUCAUUAAAAACUGCAGGCAGGGAAAUAUCUACCUUCAUCGGAAUGCGGCAGCCCCUGGCAGGUAAAAGCCGGGCUCGGUGGCAGCCCGGUUCAAGGCUUCAUGAAAGGACUCCCUUCCCAGCAGGCAGCUGACUGCUGCGAGGCUGUCCCCCAGCCCCUGCAGAGCUGCCUGUCUCUCCUGGUCUUCGACACCUGCCGGGCGGCGCAGCCCGCUUGAGCGCGCCUGGACGAGGGGCGCGGAGAGUCCCGCGGGGCUGGCGGCGCUGCAGGCCCCAGCUGCUCAGCAGCCACGCCUGGAAACGCCGUGUGAGGUCUCAUUCCGUCUUCCUUCUCUCAGUGGUUCUUGCAGACAGCCACCUGCAAGUGUCAUUUCUGUUGGCUCUGUACAGAGGAAUGGUUUGAACCCUCCUUCCUCUGAGAGUCUGAUCUGUCCAAAGGGCCAGGAUCUCCUGCCGUUCAGCCACCACCCGCGACAGACACGGGUCUCACCGAGGGACUCGCUAUUCUCUUCCUCCAGCAGAAGUUCCCACCGACGCGACAAGCCCACUCUGCCUCGGUGAAAACAGCCCACGCGGCAGACCGGGCGCCCGGGGAGAGGACACGCCUUCCCUCCAGGCCCGGCGGGGCGCGGCCGCAGCCGGGCCCCCCUGCGAUGACCGGCUCCGCCUAGCCCCUGCUCACCCGACUCGGGCAGCUGCAGCAAUAGAUCUGAGGUAAAAGGAUAUGAUCUUUUUGGCUGAGUCAUCCAGGUUAUUACCCACUCUCCCCCUCCCCGUACGAAGUCGAUCGGGUUCCAGGAAAAGCUCCUGCAUCAUCCAACGUGGUAAACGGCUCCUCGGGGCGCUCUGACCAAUGCCAAGCGCGAGUUUAGACCAAGGACACACCAGGCCUUUCCGUGGGUUCAGAGUGCUGGAGGUCAGGGGAAGGUCAUAUGACAGAGGAGACACGGGCAGGCACGAGAUGCAAGGUUGGAUUCAACCCUGCCGACCUACGAGGGUCAGAUUUUCCACCGCUGUCUCUGCAGUCCAGAGACCCAACAGCUCUACCCAGAUUUCCAAGUCCUCUAACCCUCCCC
ensembl:lncRNA